rnacentral:rRNA from 1 species
UACGAAGGGGGCUAGCGUUGUUCGGAUUUACUGGGCGUAAAGCGCACGUAGGCGGAUUGUUAAGUUGGGGGUGAAAUCCUGGAGCUCAACUCCAGAACUGCCUUCAAUACUGGCAAUCUCGAGUCCGGAAGAGGUAAGUGGAACUCCUAGUGUAGAGGUGGAAUUCGUAGAUAUUCGCAAGAACACCAGUGGCGAAGGCGGCUCACUGGCCCGAUACUGACGCUGAGGCACGAAAGCGUGGGGAGCAAACAGG